rnacentral:lncRNA from 1 species
AAAGCCCUUCAAAACACCAAAUAAAUGGCCAAGAAAAUUAUGGAAGGUUAAAAAUAAAAUAAGAAGUAUAAAAUAAUUUUUUCAUAAAUUUUAAAUGCCUAAAAGUAUUUUAAACCAAUUAAAAUAAAGGGAAAAAAAAGGAAAUUCAAGAAAAUAGAGAAUCAAGAAAAUAAAAUAUGGAAAAAUAAAAAUCAGAUGAAGAAAAAUAAAAGACAGUUUUAGAAAUUAUUUUGGGAUUUUUUGGAUAAAAGAUGAAUUUUCUAUCAAUUUUAAAAGAAAAUGCAAUUUAAAAUAGAAAAAGAAAAAGAAAUAAAAUCAGGAAAAAGAAGAGGCAUUGAAUCAGACCUCAUUAAUUGAC